rnacentral:lncRNA from 1 species
GUUGCAAGCAAUGUAGGUUCAGUGUCUGCAGAUGCUUAUCCAUACUCAUCACCUCCUCCACCUUAUGAGUACAAGUCACCUCCACCGCCAUCUCCUUCUCCACCACCACCAUAUGAGUAUAAAUCUCCACCACCACCACCACCUUAUGAGUACAAGUCCCCACCUCCACCAUCUCCAUCACCACCUCCUCCAUACCACUACCACUCUCCACCACCACCAAAGCAUGAAGAAAAACCCCCGUACUACUACAAAUCUCCACCACCUCCAUCCCCAUCCCCACCUCCUCCAUACUAUUACGAGUCUCCACCACCACCAAAACAUGAAGAAAAACCACCAUACUACUACAAGUCUCCUCCACCUCCAUCUCCAUCACCACCUCCUCCAUACUACUACAAGUCUCCACCACCACCAAAACAUGAAGAAAAACCCCCAUACUACUACAAGUCUCCUCCACCUCCAGUAAAGCCUCCACCAAAACCAUAUUAUUAUAAAUCUCCUCCACCACCAUCUCCUUCACCACCUCCACCUUACUACUAUAAGUCUCCACCACCACCUUCACCAUCUCCUCGACCUCCUUACUACUACAAGUCUCCACCACCUCCUCCACAUUACGUCUCACCACCAUACUAUUAUAAAUCUCCACCACCACCAGCUAAAUCUCCUCCUUACUACUACAAUUCUCCCCCACCACCAGCUCCUUAUUACCCUGCCCCUCACCCUUAUCCCCACCACCAUCCACUCAUAGUCAAGGUGGUUGGUAAAGUUUACUGCUACAGAUGCUAUGACUGGGGAUAUCCAGUGAAGUCACACGACAAGAAACAUCUUAAAGGUAAAAUUCUUUCAACUUUCCCAAUUUUCUAGCACUAUCAAACCUUAGUUCAUUAUCAUUCACCACAAAAAAAAAAAGCAAAAACAUUUUAGAUCAUUCUUAUUUCACAUUUUCUUUUUCAUUAGCUGGACUUUCACUUUGUUAAUUUCAAAUUUUUGUAGCACUUUGUCAUCUGCUUUAGAAGUUAAAAUAAAGGUAGCAAGAUCUUUACAAUAUUUUAAUUUAGAAGACCUAAAUCUAACAAUUGAAAGGAAUCAGAAUAUAUUCUUGUGGUAACAAAUUUAAUUUAAAAAACUGAAUAGGCUAAGAAAGAAAACAAAGAUUUUCUUUGUUUCUUAAUUAUAUGUUAAUUUGUAUCUAAAUUAAAACAACCCUUUUCUAUGAUAUAUAUAAUAUUAUAGUUUUGUUGAUAAUAAUAUAGUAUAUUAUUUGGGUUAGCUCAAUUAAGGAAAGAGUAAAUGAAAUGAAUAUUUUAUAUUCAAACCAUAUACUUUUAUUAUUUAAAAAAUAGGCUUGGUUGAAUACAAGCUCUCUUUGCCCAUUUUGUUGUGCAGUAUAGAUUAAGUUGCAAUCUUGGAGGAAAAUAAAGUUGUCCUGAUUAAGGGUUGCACUAAUUACAAUUGGAAUUAACGUAUCAAAUGCCUUAUUGAAAGUUAAAAUAAAUAUAAUUAUAUUAAUUCAUGAAAAGACGAAAUUAGUUAUUAAAGUUAGUGAUGACUAAAGAUAAUUCAUUAUUUUGGUUGACUUUUUAACAACAAUUUGAUACUAAAAUGAUUUGGCUUUUAUUAUUGCACAUGGAACAGGUGCUGUUGUGGAAGUAACUUGCAAUGUCGGUGAAAAGAAGGUUAAGGCCUAUGGAAAAACCAAGAUCAAUGGAAAAUUCAGCAUCACGGUUGAAGGAUUUGACUAUGCCAAAUAUGGAGCCGAGGCAUGCAAGGCCAAGCUCCACGCUGCACCCACUGGUUCACCAUGCAACAUUCCCACCAGUCUACACGAGGGCAACACGGGUGCUGAGCUCAAGGUGAAGUCAAAGACCAAGUACGAGGUUGUGCUCAAGGCUAAGCCAUUUGCCUAUGCUCCAAAGACUCCUUACAAGGAGUGUGAAAAGCCGAAGCCAAAGCCGAAGCCUCCAACUCCUUACUACUAUACUUCUCCACCACCACCUACACCCGUUUAUAUCUAUAAAUCACCACCUCCUCCACCACCAACAUACGUCUACAAGUCACCACCACCUCCAUCCCACCCAUACAAGCCACCAACUGAGCCAUACAAACCACCACCAUACUACUACAAAUCUCCACCUCCACCAUCACCCUCCUACAUCUAUAAGUCACCACCCCCACCAACCCCCACUUACGUUUACAAAUCACCACCACCUCCAUCUCACCCAUACAAGCCACCAACUGAACCAUACAAACCACCACCAUACUACUACAAGUCCCCACCUCCACCAUCACCCACCUACGUCUACAAAUCACCACCACCUCCAUCUCACCCAUACAAGCCACCAACUGAGCCAUACAAACCACCACCAUACUACUACAAAUCUCCACCUCCACCAUCACCCACCUACGUCUACAAGUCACCACCCCCACCAACCCCUACUUACGUCUACAAAUCACCACCACCUCCAUCUCACCCAUACAAGCCACCAACUGAGCCACACAAACCACCACCAUACUACUACAAGUCACCACCUCCACCAUCGCCUACUUACAUCUACAAAUCACCACCACCUCCAUCUCACCCAUACAAGCCACCAACUGAGCCACACAAGCCACCACCAUACUACUACAAGUCACCACCUCCACCAUCGCCUACUUACAUCUACAAAUCACCACCACCUCCACCAUACUACUAUAAAUCCCCACCACCUCCAUCUCCAUCCCCACCUCCUCCAUACUAUUACGAGUCUCCACCACCACCAAAACACGAAGAAAAACCUCCAUACUACUACAAGUCUCCUCCACCUCCAUCUCCAUCCCCACCUCCUCCAUACUACUACAAGUCUCCACCACCUCCUCCACAUUACGUCUCACCACCAUACUAUUAUAAAUCUCCACCACCACCAUCGCCAUCUCCUCUUCCACCAUACUACUACAAAUCCCCGCCACCACCAGUCCAUUCUCCACCACCACCAUACUAUUACAAAUCUCCACCACCACCAUCGCCAUCUCCUCUUCCACCAUACUACUACAAAUCACCUCCACCUCCUUCACCCUCUCCCACACCCCCAUAUUAUUACAAGUCUCCACCACCACCAGUCCAUUCCCCUCCACCACCAUACUACUACAAAUCACCACCACCUCCAAUAAAGUCUCCAGCACCAGUCUACCACUACAACUCUCCUCCUCCACCAUCACCAUCUCCUCAUCCUCCAUAUUACUACAAAUCCCCACCACCUCCAUCUCCAUCACCAUUACCCCCAUAUUACUACAAAUCUCCUCCUCCACCGUCGCCAUCUCCUCUUCCACCCUAUUACUACAAAUCCCCACCACCACCAGUCCACUCUCCACCACCACCAUACUACUACAAGUCCCCACCACCACCAUCGCCAUCUCCUCUUCCACCAUACUACUACAAAUCCCCUCCACCUCCUUCACCCUCUCCUCCACCACCAUACUAUUACAAAUCACCACCACCUCCAGUAGAGGCUCCGGCACCAACCUAUCACUACAAAUCCCCACCACCACCAUACUACUACAACUCUCCCCCACCACCCCCAUAUUAUUACAAGUCCCCACCCCCACCUUCCCCAUCACCACCACCUCCCUACUACUACAAGUCUCCACCUCCACCUUCCCCGUCACCACCACAUCCUUACUAUUACAAAUCCCCACCUCCUCCCUCACCCUCACCCCUUCCCCCAUAUUACUACCACUCACCUCCCCCACCAGUGACAUCAC